CAUUUCACCCUCCUAACCCAACACCCACCAAAUGAAAAAAAAUCAUCAUUUCCCCUGGAAAAGAAUAAAGAACCGCCUGAUGAGCUAAAGCAAGGGAAACCCUGUUGCCAUUUUGAUCUUUCAAUUUUCAGAAAAAAAUAAAUGAACAGCAGUAACUACAUGGUUGGUGCAGAUUGGCAGAUCAAGGGAGUUGAAGCAAGGAAUGUUGUUUCCUUCUGAUGCCAUCAUGAUGGAGACUGCAAAAAUGUUUGCCGAAGAUGCACGAUUUGCAUUCGUGAAAACACUUGGUGUAAAUGUCCGUACGAAGAUCCAACCCCAUGCCUUUGACAGAAGCCAUUUUGGGGUGCAAAGGGGCACCCAGGGAAUUAUUGAUUUGCAACUUUUAAUAUAGCUAAGGCUGUGGCUCAAUAAGAUUUUCUGACUUCCUAUACCUAUAACUUUCUUAAUAAAUCUUGAUUGUUUUUAUA